AUAGUCAUGCGAGGCGAACCGGGUGAACUGAAACAUCUCAGUAGCUCGAGGAACAGACAUCAACCGAGAUUCCGAAAGUAGUGGCGAGCGAAAUCGGAGUAGCCUGCACGUUUUAGCAGUCGACUUAUCAGAACGGAAUGGAAAGUCCGGCCAUAGCGGGUGAUAGCCCUGUAUGAGAAAAGUCGGUUGUGGAACUGGGCGUGCGAAAAGUAGGGCGGGACACGUGAAAUCCUGUCUGAAGAUGGGGGGACCAUCCUCCAAGGCUAAAUACUCGUAAUCGACCGAUAGCGAACUAGUACCGUGAGGGAAAGGCGAAAAGAACCCCGGGAGGGGAGUGAAAUAGAUCCUGAAACCGCAUGCAUACAAAAAGUCGGAGCCCGCAAGGGUGACGGCGUACCUUUUGUAUAAUGGGUCAGCGACUUACAUUCAGUGGCAAGCUUAACCGAAUAGGGAAGGCGUAGGGAAACCGAGUCCGAACAGGGCGUCCAGUCGCUGGGUGUAGACCCGAAACCAAGUGAUCUAUCCAUGGCCAGGAUGAAGGUGCCGUAACAGGUACUGGAGGUCCGAACCGACUAGUGUUGCAAAACUAGCGGAUGAGCUGUGGAUAGGGGUGAAAGGCUAAACAAACUUGGAAAUAGCUGGUUCUCUCCGAAAACUAUUUAGGUAGUGCCUCAAGUAUUACCAUCGGGGGUAGAGCACUGUUUAGGCUAGGGGGUCAUGGCGACUUACCAAACCUAUGCAAACUCCGAAUACCGAAGAGUACAGCUUGGGAGACAGAGCACCGGGUGCUAACGUCCGGACUCAAGAGGGAAACAACCCAGACCGCCAGCUAAGGUCCCUAAAAUUGGCUAAGUGGGAAACGAAGUGGGAAGGCUAAAACAGUCAGGAUGUUGGCUUAGAAGCAGCCAUCAUUUAAAGAAAGCGUAAUAGCUCACUGAUCGAGUCGUCCUGCGCGGAAGAUGUAACGGGGCUAAGCCAGUUACCGAAGCUGCGGAUAAGCCUGUGAAGGUGUCUCGAGAGGGAUGCUGGAGGUAUCAGAAGUGCGAAUGCUGACAUGAGUAGCGUUAAAGGGGGUGAAAAGCCCCCUCGCCGAAAGCGCAAGGUUUCCUACGCAACGUUCAUCGGCGUAGGGUGAGUCGGCCCCUAAGGCGAGGCAGAGAUGCGUAGCUGAUGGGAAACAGGUCAAUAUUCCUGUACCGAUGUGCAGUGCGAUGUGGGGACGGAGAAGGUUAGCUCAGCCGGGUGUUGGAUGUCCCGGUUCAAGCCUGUAGUCGUGCCUGGUAGGUAAAUCCGCCGGGCUUAGAUGAGGGGUGAUAACGAGGCUGCUUGCAGCCGAAGUGAGUGAUACCCUGCUUCCAGGAAAAGCCACUAAGCUUCAGCUACACACGACCGUACCGCAAACCGACACUGGUGCGCGAGAUGAGUAUUCUCAGGCGCUUGAGAGAACUCGGGAGAAGGAACUCGGCAAAUUGACACCGUAACUUCGGAAGAAGGUGUGCCUUUAGUAGGUGAAGGGAUUUACUCCCCUAGCUCAAUGAGGUUGCAAAAAAUCGGUGUCUGCGACUGUUUAAUAAAAACACAGCACUCUGCAAACACGAAAGUGGACGUAUAGGGUGUGACGCCUGCCCGGUGCUGGAAGAUUAAAUGAUGGGGUGCAAGCUCUUGAUUGAAGUCCCAGUAAACGGCGGCCGUAACUAUAACGGUCCUAAGGUAGCGAAAUUCCUUGUCGGGUAAGUUCCGACCUGCACGAAUGGCGUAACGNUGGCCACACUGUCUCCAAUCNCCCCGCGGAAAGACGGAAAGACCCCAUGAACCUUUACUGUAGCUUUACAUUGGACUUUGAACAGAUCUGUGUAGGAUAGGUGGGAGGCUUUGAAGCGGUGCCGCUAGGUGCCGUGGAGCCAACGUUGAAAUACCACCCUGGUGUGUUUGAGGUUCUAACCUUGGCCCGUUAUCCGGGUUGGGGACAGUGUAUGGUAGGCAGUUUGACUGGGGCGGUCUCCUCCCAAAGCGUAACGGAGGAGUUCGAAGGUACGCUAGUUACGGUCGGACAUCGUGACGAUAGUGCAAUGGCAUAAGCGUGCUUAACUGCGAGACUGACAAGUCGAGCAGAUGCGAAAGCAGGACAUAGUGAUCCGGUGGUUCUGUAUGGAAGGGCCAUCGCUCAACGGANAAAAGGUACNCNGGGGAUAACAGGCUGAUACCGCCCAAGAGUUCAUAUCGACGGCGGUGUUUGGCACCUCGAUGUCGGCUCAUCNCAUCCUGGGGCUGUAGCCGGUCCCAAGGGUAUGGCUGUUCGCCAUUUAAAGAGGUACGUGAGCUGGGUUUAAAACGUCGUGAGACAGUUUGGUCCCUAUCUUCCGUGGGCGCUGCA
rnacentral:rRNA from 1 species